GGACAAGAAACUAAAAGUAUUAUGGUUUCGGCCCAUAACUGUGGUUACAUCUGUACCCUUGUCCU
rnacentral:tRNA from 1 species